CUCGCGGCGCAGCCUCCCACCCUUGUCUCUAUACACCUGUUGCUUUGGCGGGCCCACUGGGGCCACCUGGUCGCCGGGGGACGCACGUCUCCGGGCCCGCGCCCGCCGAAGCGCUCUGUGAACCCUGAUGAAGAUGGGCUGUCUGAGUACUGUGAAAAUUGUCAAAACUUUCAACAAUGGAUCUCUUGGUUCCGGCAUCGAUGAAGAACGCAGCGAAAUGCGAUAAGUAAUGUGAAUUGCAGAAUUCCGUGAAUCAUCGAAUCUUUGAACGCACAUUGCGCCCCCUGGCAUUCCGGGGGGCAUGCCUGUCCGAGCGUCAUUUCUGCCCUCAAGCACGGCUUGUGUGUUGGGUGUGGUCCCCCCGGGGACCUGCCCGAAAGGCAGCGGCGACGUCCGUCUGGUCCUCGAGCGUAUGGGGCUCUGUCACUCGCUCGGGAAGGACCUGCGGGGGUUGGUCACCACCAUGUUUUACCACGGUUGACCUCGGAUCAGGUAGGAGUUCAUCACUCGCUGAAUUUAAGUGGGUUUUCAAUAAGCGGAGGAAUCAUUACCGAGUGCGGGCCCUCCGGCCCAACCUCCCACCCUUGUCUCUAUACACCUGUUGCUUUGGCGGGCC
rnacentral:rRNA from 1 species